GACAGAGGAUGCAAACGUUGCUCGGAAUUACUGGGCGUAAAGCGCGCGCAGGUGGUCUGGUAAGUCGGGUGUGAAAUCCCGGGGCUCAACCUCGGAAGUGCACACGAUACUGCCGGACUCGAGUACUGGAGAGGAGAGCGGAAUUCCCGGUGUAGAGGUGAAAUUCGUAGAUAUCGGGAGGAACACCAGUGGCGAAGGCGGCUCUGGACAGAUACUGACACUGAGGCGCGAAAGCGUGGGAAGCAAACAGG
rnacentral:rRNA from 1 species